AGCUCCAAAAGCGUAUAUUAAAGUUGUUGCAGUUAAAAAGCUCGUAGUUGAACCUUGGGCUUGGUUAGCCGGUCCGCCUUUUGGUGAGUACUGGAUCUAACCGAGCCUUUCCUUCUGGGUAACCUUUCUUUCGGGGAAGGCGAACCAGGACUUUUACUUUGAAAAAAUUAGAGUGUUCAAAGCAGGCCUUUGCUCGAAUAUAUUAGCAUGGAAUAAUAGAAUAGGACGUUAUGGUUCUAUUU
rnacentral:rRNA from 1 species